UACGGAGGGUGCAAGCGUUGUUCGGAAUCACUGGGCGUAAAGCGCGUGUAGGCGGCCUCGUAAGUCUGGUGUGAAAGCCCGGGGCUUACCCCCGGAAGUGCACUGGAAACUGCAAGGCUUGAGUACCGGAGAGGAGGGUGGAAUUCCUGGUGUAGCGGUGAAAUGCGUAGAUAUCAGGAGGAACACCGGUGGCGAAGGCGGGUCUCUGGGCCGAUACUGACGCUGAGGAGCGAAAGCGUGGGGAGCGAACAGG
rnacentral:rRNA from 1 species